rnacentral:lncRNA from 1 species
GCGCGCAGGAAAGAGGGAGGCUGAAGAGCGAGCUGGAAGCCACGGCGCUGGGCAGAGCCCGGACGGACGAGCGCGCAGGGACGAACAGGCGAGGCGACAGCGCGAGCAGGGAGGAGCUCGAGCGUGCCAUAGCCGAAGAAAGAGUUCUAGCCAGGGAGAAGAAAGUCUGCGCGGUCAGCCGAACUGGAACCGGCGUGCGCAGAGAGCACCGAGCGCCAGGGAGUUUGCAGAGGAGACCGACGCAAAGAGCCGGCCAUGGAGGGAGAUCCGAGCGAGUAGAAAUCCGGGCGCCGAGCAGAGGAAGAACGAUCUGCGUAGGGGAGGAAGAAGCUGCACAGCAUGGAGACUCAGAGGGCUGGGGCGAGUUCGUCAAGGAGCAGAGGGGCUGGGGCACCAUGGGGAAGAACCUCGGCGCGCAGAGCUCCACGGCGAGCCAGGCGAGCAGAGGGAACCAGCAGCGGGCGAGACCUGGGACAGGGAGGAGGAAGCGGCUGGGAUGGGCGCGUAGAGCAGCAGGGCAAGGCCGCGGUCAGGCGAGAUCCGAACAGAGAAGCUCCGGCCAGGGGCGAGCGAUCGGCCGGCGAUGGAGCAGGCGGCCAUGGGAAGGGCAGAGGAAGCGCCGACAGAGGAGGGAGAUGAAGACGCCAGCAGCAAAAAAUCAGAGGAGGGAGAGGAUAGGGAUGGCACGCCGUCAGGAACAAAAAUCAGGAAGCAGAUGAUUUGCUGCUGCGCGGGGAAGAGCCAUUUGGCUGGGAAGAAGAAGGAGCUGGACGACUUCAGCAGAUUUUCCUCUGCAGCGGCUGGAGAUAACCACGGCUGGAAUUUAUCCAUUGCUAGAAAGCGGCGCAGGGAUUUGUUCACGAGCUUGAGCGGCAUCAAAAAAAAUCCCACCCGAGGAUAAGGAAGAAGAGGAUUUGAGCGGUAAGAAUUUUCUCUUCUUUUUUUUAAUUUCUUUUCUUCUCUUUUUCUCAAAAAAUAUUAAUACUAGAAUUAGAGUUUUGGUGAGACAUUAUCAGAAUACAAUACUUGAGAUACUACUAAUUGGGUUGAACUCGGAUAAAAAAAACUUAUCUGUUCCGAUUUUCUUAGCGAUGUUUACGAUGUAGACUGUAAUUGUGACACGGUUUUGAUUUGACGAAUACUCGGGAGUCGGAUGAAUUCGUACCGUUAAUUCACCUUUUUAAAUCAAGGCGAAAAGCAACGGACCGAAUUAAACAUAUUCCGGCUUUGUUAAUUUUGCUCUGCGUGAUUUAAUUCAGUUGACUUCAGAUGAUUUCCGUUUGCUACUCGAAUACUCGACUAAACAAUUCAAUUGAAAUCCGUAGACGCAAUGUCACGGAUAACAAAAAGGGGAUUAAAUUAUUUUACCCCGAAAACUUAGUCGUCGAGUUUGACUAAUUUGCCCGGGAUAAAAAUCACCCAGUGGGUCGAGCUUCCGAAUUCAUGUCCGUGCGAGCGAUGAAUUUUUAAAUCAUUAUCGGACGCACCGAUUUUCGGAACAACGAUGUUCUGGACAUCACGAAAAUCUAAGAAGAGCCCGGGUAGAUAAAAAUAAAAACGACGUCGCACUUGCGACAGACGGAACAGAUGCGAUAUUAAAAUCGCGAUAGACGAAGAUGAUUAGAAUUUAGCAUCUGUUUUAUGCACUGAUAUUACGUGCUUAAUCCCAUACUCGUUGUCGAGCGGAAUAUAAACACCUGGAGUGUUACAUAUGACAUGUGGGGCCAGUGGCACACAAAGAACGGGUAUAUUUUCCGAUGGCAUACAGGGAAUUGGCCCCAUAUGACUAUGGUCAGUACCAACGUAUCUAAUUUUGACACUAAGAUGAGUUAGUGACCAUGAUUAGACAAAGAGCAUGAUUGUGUUCAUGUUUCGUUGCAUGUUUAUGUCAAGUUCAAUUCAACAGAUCAUUCCCAAUGCAUGCUGGCCUGGCCUACAUGGACCAUAACAAAUUAACAAUGACAAAGAAGACUCAACGCCAUCAGUUCUUGUUUAUCUAUAGCAGGAAGACUCAUUCUGAUCAACUCUACUUUCUCGACGAUGCCCAUCUUUGCAAUGUGUACCCUUAAGAAUCCGGUAACGGUCAUUAACGCCAUUGACUGUAUCAGAAGGGGUUGUCUCUGGUGCGGCAGCAAUGAAAAUGUGCACCAAAAUCCUCUGGUCGCCUGGAACAAAGUUUGUUGUCUCAGAAAUAGAGGGGGCUUGGGGUUCCCAAUCUAAAGAUUCAUAACACAACCCUCUUGCUCAAAUUCAUUCACAAAUUCUAUGGCAGAAAAGACAUUUCUUGGAUAAAUCUUAUUUGGGCCACUCACUACUCUGGGGUAAGAUCCCCCAUGCCUAUCCAGAAACAGGCUCUUUCUAGUGGAAGGAUGUUUUUAGGUUGGUUGAUUAUUUCAGAGGGCAUGAUAUGCCCUAGGUUGGGAUGGAAGGACAAUUCUGCUAUUGUUUGGAACAAUAUCUCCCCCAGAUUCACCUUCCCUUGUCUUUUCUCCUUUUCCAAGAAAAAGGAAUGCUCACUUCAAGAAUUAUUAGCCAACAUAGAUAUGGAGCACAAUUUCCAUACUCCUUUAUCUCCUCAGGCUGCUCAUGAAUGCCUAGCUUUCCACGAGCUAAUGAGCACUCUUCAGAAUUCUGCAACUGCUAAAGAUAAAUGGACCUAUUCAUGGGGCAAUACUACUUUCAGCUCAUCCAAGUUCUAUAGUCUCACUUUUUAGUCAAUCUAGCCUCUCGUUGCCUUUAAUUGGAUUUGCUAGUCCAAGGUUGGGAAGAAACUCAAGAUUUUUGUAUGGUUGGUCUUCAGGGACAGAAUCAACUCCAAGAACAUCCUCAGAAGAAAGGGUUUCUUUCCACUAGACAGCAACCUUGAAUGCACUCUGUGCGACAUGCACUGCGAAGAGACGACUUAUCACCUGCUGUUUUGCUGCCCCUUCAGUACAGAUUGCUAGAGUUAUGUGGGUCUCCAUUGGAAUCAUAAUUUUGACUUCUUUCUGAUGAUUUAUGAGGCUAAGGGUGCUUUUGGCCAUAGUUUCUUUAUGGAAGUUCUGGCGCUUGUGUUUUGGUGCAUUUGGAAGUAGAGGAAUGAAUUCAUCUUUAGGAGUGAGGCUCCUUCUUUUUCUUCUUGGCGACACAGUUUCAACGACAUGUUGAAGUCGCAAAUGCUGAGAUUUAACCUUCUUUUAGAGCUAAGCUAUUGAUUUGGCUAAAUUAUCGAUAGCUUUUGUUGUUGCCUUCUUUGCUUCCACUUGUAAUCGUAUUUUCAUUCCAAAAGUUUCAAUAAAAUCGCAUUGUAGGGGGUUUCUGUGAUACCCAGUUUGCAAAGAAGAGAAGUUGGAGUUUAUUUCUUUCUUGUUGUUUUUUUUGCUUCUCUUUCGGGUAGUGCGCUUUUCGGGUUUGGAAUUUUUGGGUAGCAUUCGCCAGUAAAAUAGUAGAAUUUUGGUUAGUCUCGGGCGUCGGGGUCGGGAGUUGACGCGUGAGCGAGUUGGGCCGCGGUUCUUGAUCCGGCCCACUAAUUCCCCUAACCCUAGCCCCCCUCCCCCUAAUUCCCUUCCCCUUGUGCAGCCCCCCCCCCCACUCUCUCUAGCCUUUGGCCGCCACCCCCUCUCCCUAAUUCCCUCUCUCUUGUGCAGCCCCCCCCCCCCUCUCCCAUCUCCUCCUCUCCAAGUGUCGUUCUUCCUCGCCGGAUCUUCUUCGUGUUGGUGCAAGUUCCGAUUGGAGAAUUGGUGGGAGGAAGGAAGGAGGAAAGGAGGAACCCAAUGUGACUUUGUAAUUAUCUUUUGUUGUUUUUGUGCUGCAAUCAAAUUGAUUAUAUGUUUACCUAUGCGAAUUGGUAGAGGUGCUGUCCAGAAAUUUUGUGGGUGGACGAACAGCAAUAGCAUUAGCAGUUUCUGGGGAUUUUUCAUGGAAAAUUAGUGAUAAUCAAUAUGAUAAUCAUGUAGAGCUUUGUCAUACCUUUCUAACGAGUACUUAUGCGCUCGAUUCGGAGUUAUAUUUUAGGAGAUAUCGCUGUUUGAAUCCGGGUAUGUGGCUGUCCAAAAAACAGAUUUCUACAGGUGGGCGAACAGCAGUAGUAUUAGCAGUUUCUGAGGAUUUUUCGUGGGAAAUUAGUGAUAAUCAAUAUGAGAAUCAUGUAUAGCUUUGUCAAAUCUUUCUAACGAGUACUUAUCCGCUUGAUUCGGAGUUAUAAUUUAGGAGAUAUCGCUGUUUGAAUCCGGAUAUAUUGCUGUCCAAAAACAGAUUGCAGGAUGUACCUUGUGGAUGAUUUUGGGCUAAUUAGAUUUUGGGAUUUAAUUAUAAAUUGUAUACAAAACUUGUGGGGAAUUUUAUGUAGAUGCCUCUGGAGUUUUUGUUGGUUACCACUGCUGUCAUAAUUUUAAAGAUAUAAAAUGGUUAAGCAGCGCCGCUGCAGUUUGGUGGGUGUGGAGAGAGUUGUUAUCCGCGACGGGGUUUGAAGUUGUGCGUAGGUGUGGCAUCGUUUAUGAGCAUUGUUAUGUGAAAUUUGUGCACUAAAUUGUGUGUCAAAAAUAUGUAGUGGACUUCCGGAUCGUACUUAGGGCUUUGUCCAAACUUCCCGGUGAAGGCAAGUAAAAAUUUGUGGUGGUUAUUCCGUCGAUCGAUUAAUGUGGCUUAUACUUGAUUACAUUUAUGCUAUUUGUGUUCAUACUCAUAUUCCUUGUUGGGUACCAUCAUUUGAAGAUAUAUAUGUUCUAUUGAUUACAUAUGUGAGGGUGUAAUUUGAUCAUGUUAUUCAUGUUGUUUAUCAUUUGGAAAGGGUGGAAGUAUAUGUUUCCCACAUUUUUUUUUUGAGGAGGACUCAUGUGUUGACAUGCAUAGUGCAUUCAUCAUCUUUUGCAUGAAAGUUUCGUCGUGAUUUUAUGGUCCGACCGUAUUGGUACAAUAAGCAUCAUACGUUGCCCGAGAAGGGGUAUGAUGCAGCUUCAUAUCCUUAGAGGUAUGAAGGCAGAAGUAAUUACUGCAUCUGUAGCCAUGUGCAUUCAUGGGUGAAGUGUGGCACCUGUCAUGGUGGAGCGGAUAAUGUGGAUCUUUUAUUUAUGAUUCAUUUUGGAACUGAGUAAUUAGUACUUGUUUACUUGCUGCAAUUUAAUAUUCAAGAGGGAGAUUGUGAACUACGUGGUUGUUUAAGCACGACUUAUUUACAUUGUCCAGUCGUUGUUGAUCUUUUUACUUGCUGAGAUGUGUCAUCUCACUCUUGCAUUGUCUGAUGCAGGCACUUGAUCCUUGCUUUUGGGAAAGGAGGGAAGUAGAAGCACGGCCACUACACAUUUAAAUAAAUGUACCACUACUUAGUAAUGUUGUUAAACAGGGGUGCAAGCUUAGAGGAUUAAUAUGUUCUAGUCUUCAUGAUAGUCAAAUUUGCUUUUGGGUUGGUCGGAUUCCUUCUCUUUUUAUUUGGUCAUGACUAUUCAUUGCUAUCUCUGCAUUCUGUUUAUACUACGUGGAUUAUCAUUCCUUUUCAUUAUGUAUAAACUUU